rnacentral:lncRNA from 1 species
CGGGGAGGGAGAGCGGUGGGAGGGGGGAGGGGAGAGCGAGCGUCCUCCGAACGGCGUCGUGUUUCGCCGUUCUUGUCCUCGGUCUGAUUUCUCUCUCCUUUCCCCGGCCGAAUUUCGGCGCCCCGUUACACGUCCUCCAGGGGGAGGUUGGAGCCGACGGGCAGCCGGCGGCUGUGGGCUGUGCGGGGCUCUCGUGGCGGUGAUGCUGCAGUAACGUGUCCUCCGUGCUCCCUUCGCUGAGAUGUGCCGUGUGUGUCUGUGGCCGUGCUGAGGCUGCACGAAAGAUGUCACGGCUGGUGUCUGCAGACCCGUGAGGGAAAUCUACACUCGCGUUCCGAAGACGGUGCUCUCUUUCCCUCUCCCCCUCCUGCCCCCUUGAUGUAGAAAUGCGUCUAUGAUCGCUGUGAGCAAAGUCUGAGAAGGAGCUGGAUUUCAAUUCCUGCUGCUGUUUUCUUUCCCCUUACUCUUUCUCUCCCCAUACGUCACCAUGUGGACGUUAUCUGCUAAUUGUAUUUUCAACUUUUUCUCAUGAUCCCAACGCUGUGAAUUUCUCAGUGGUUGCUGAGAGGAAGGCAAUCAUAAAUACAGAUUUUAGCAUAUUGUAUCAUAGCUAAUCACGUUCUGCUGCAAAAAAGGAAAGCGUAGUCCCUUUUUAAAAAAGCAGGAGACAGAGCGCUUCCCCCCAAAAAGGGAAAAACCCCCAAACGUUUAUGCUGAGUUAACAUGCUGAGAAUGAAGAGUGGCAGCUUUGCUUCUUCCCUUCACUACUUGUCUUGGUUUGAAGUACAGAGGAAAGGAUGCGUGAGCCAUGCUGGAGCGGUGUGCCUGCCUGCAGAGUGUGGCAGUGAGCAAGGCAGAGAAUUUUAUAGCGUCUCUAUAAUGUCUGUCUCCUUCCUAGAUGGCACUGAGUUCUCUGAGAUGCGCUACGGAAAUGAUGAGAACGACUUCUGAGGCUGUGAGCGGUGGCUGAUGAGAGAAGCUAAAGAGAGGAACCUCAAAAUUGAACAGAUUGGCCUCUCUCCUCUGGGACAAAGCCAGUGCCAACCGCCUGACCAACUCAGCAGGAACCGCGGGCUGUGGGAGAUUGCAGCGCCUUCAGCGAUGGAGCAGCGCAGGAUGCUGGGCUCGGAUCCCAAAGCAAACCUGCGUGAACGGAAACGUGAGCUCCUCAGCACACGCAGCGUAGUUUACUCAGCCAGGCUGGUUGUACGUGUGAGUGGACGGACGCUUCGAAGGAGGUGGAAGCUCUGCAGCUCUGACAGAUGGCCCAGGAACCCUUACUGUCGUAAUCAAAGCUAUGACACUUCAUCGCUGGCAAUCUGUCAGGCUUCCCCAGCCUCCUUUCUGAUCUUCGCCUCAGCGAGCAGCUUUCUACCUCAGAGUCUUUUGAAGAUUGAAAAGGCAAAGAAGUUCUCUGCCUUUGCUCCUGCCUCCACCUGCCCUCAGCACGCAGCCAGGAGAUGAGGGGCACUCAGGAGCACGAUGGGAGCCCUUCGUAUCUCCUCAGCUCCUGACCUUCCAGCUCUGCAGAGACAUUUCAUAUCUCAGUGACAGCCUGCGGCCCCCACAGCCCCCCCGAUUCAGCCCGAAGGCCCACUGCCUCUCUUCCCCCCCACGCACACAGAUGGGCGCGCUGGGCACCAGCACUGCUGUCCCAACAGCGGAUUCAUCGCCCGGCCCGCAAUUGGUCUGUCAGCACCGCGUGUUUAUUUUGAGAGUGCCGGCCCGGGCGCUCGGUGGUUUCCACAGGAGGAAGAAAUGUUUCCCGAGGAGGGCCCUGGCACGCGCUGCCCCGAGGAGCGGCGCACACCCAUGUGUGGAAUCAGACUCUGUGACCACAAAGCAGUUAUAAAAGCAGGCAUGUUUAAUCAGGGCUGCGACGCCGGGUGCAAGGGGGAGAGCUGCUCCUAAGUGGCACAGCGUCAGGAAGAAGCGUGCUGAGCUCGAGGCCGAACUGAGAGGUGAUCAGUAGUUUCCAGGGAUUGGGAUCCACGUUCCUUACAUUCCGAGAAGCCAUCAGCACGCGGCCCCCCCUCGCGCGUGCACAGUGAGCGGUGAGGGUCUCCUCCUGGUGGUCGUGGGAUGAAGAAUCCUCAUCUUCCUCGCGAAGGCUCGCAGUCUUUCUCCCUGUUCGCUUUGGACCCUGCGGGAGGGGCAGCCCCCCCAGCCCCGUUUCAGCUCGCCCUGCGGACAUCGAAUCGCCUCACUGCCCGGCGUCCUCAGGCCGUUCUCAAACCCUUCUGGUUACGGCCUUCAGCCCCUCGUUAUCCCAGACCCAGUGUCUGCCAUCCCUUAUUUUUCUAACAUUCUUGCUUCUAUAAACUAACAACCCCUCCCUUUCCCCCUCCCCCAGUCGUACGUCCCCAUGAAACCUUUUCCUCACGUUUUUACUACGGGGCCCUUCUCACUCUCCAGCACCGGCCCGCACAGCCGUACCGCACAAGCGCGCAGCAGGCGCGGGCUGCUGCCUCCUGCACGCCCCGCCCCCGCCUCUCCUAUUGGCCGGCCGUGCCCGUUCGGUCAUCUCGUUGGCUGGCGCCGCCGCCUGUUAUAUGCACGGCCCGCCUCCGCGCCUUCUUCCGGGAGUGUCCCGUCCGCCCCUUCGUGUCUGCGGAGCCAAUUGGCUGCCCUGAUUGUCACUUACAGCUUGGGCGGAGGGCCGAUUGGACGAACGAGGUCAGGCGGGUUGCCCGCUCUGCGCGUGCGCGGUCCGAGCGAGGGCGGGUCCGGGUAACGGGCGCGCGGAGUCGUGACGUCACUGGACGCGACGCGCAGCGGCCGGGGUGAGCGUCACGUGAUCCGGGGAGCCGGCGGUUCGGGGCCGAGGAAACGCGGCUGCUCGCGGUGCUGGGCG